rnacentral:rRNA from 1 species
CCAUUUAGCUAUGCUAACACGUACGAGUUCACACUCGUGGCGCAUAGCUCAGUAACACGUGGCCAAUCUACCCUUCAGCGGCGAACACCCUCGGGAAACUGAGGCUAAUCCGCCAUACACCUCUCACGCUUGACCGCCGAGAGGACGAAACGCUCCUUGUGGGCGCUGAAGGAUGAGGCUGCGGCCGAUUAGGUAGACGGUGGGGUAACGGCCCACCGUGCCCAUAAUCGGUACGGGUCGUGAGAGCGAGAGCCCGGAGACGGAAUCUGAGACAAGAUUCCGGGCCCUACGGGGCGCAGCAGGCGCGAAACCUUUACACUGCACGCCAGUGCGAUAAGGGGACUCCAAGUGCGAGGGCAUAUCGUCCUCGCUAUCCUGUACUCUAGGGUAGUACAGUAUCAAGAGCUGGGCAAGACCGGUGCCAGCCGCCGCGGUAAUACCGGCAGCUCAAGUGAUGGCCGAUCUUAUUGGGCCUAAAGCGUCCGUAGCUGGCCUCGGAAGUCCGUCGGGAAAUCCAUCAGCUCAACUGAUGGGCGUCCGGCGGAAACUCCGAGGCUUGGGACCGGAAGGCUCGAGGGGUACCAUCCGGGGUAGGAGUGAAAUCCCGUAAUCCCGAACGGACCACCGAUGGCGAAAGCACCUNNAGAANACGGCUCCGAAGUGAAGGGACGAAAAGCUAGGGUCNUCGNAACCGGAUUAAAUACCCGGGUAGUCCUANCCCUAAACGAUGUUCGNUAGG